AUGACAGAACAGAAAUGGUUGAUCUGUGGAAGCAAAGAAAGGUUGAAAUCUAUGGUUGCCCUUGCAAAUAGAGGACAGGACAGUAGGAUCAGAGGAGAAAUUAAGUUCAAAUAUGACACAGGAAAAGAACAGAGGCUGGCAAUGGCCAUAUAUUCUGGGGUCCAUCCUCCCCUCACAGAGAGACGGGCUCUAAGAAAGAUGCAGUCAUUAAGCAACAAGAAGGAGACAAAGUGUGGUCCAGUGCUUAAUUGUUGUAAAGGAUGGAGGGCUGCUUCAUGGAUUUCCAGCAUGUGUGCUCCCUAUCAUGGCCAUGAUGUUUGA
rnacentral:lncRNA from 1 species